CAGAUCAAAGCUUUAUUGGAAGCAUUUUAGUUACAUUAAAAAGAUUACUAUUAUCUGUAUGAUCUGA
rnacentral:tRNA from 2 species